GAUGAACGCUGGCGGCGUGCCUAAUACAUGCAAGUCGAGCGAACAGACGAGGAGCUUGCUCCUCUGACGUUAGCGGCGGACGGGUGAGUAACACGUGGAUAACCUACCUAUAAGACUGGGAUAACUUCGGGAAACCGGAGCUAAUACCGGAUAAUAUAUUGAACCGCAUGGUUCAAUAGUGAAAGACGGUUUUGCUGUCACUUAUAGAUGGAUCCGCGCCGCAUUAGCUAGUUGGUAAGGUAACGGCUUACCAAGGCAACGAUGCGUAGCCGACCUGAGAGGGUGAUCGGCCACAAUGGAAAUGAGACACGGUCCAGACUCCUAAGGGAGGCAGCAGUAGGGAAUCUUCCGCAAUGGGCGAAAGCUUGACGGAGCAACGCCGCGUGAGUGAUGAAGGUCUUCGGAUCGUAAAACUCUGUUAUUAGGGAAGAACAAAUGUGUAAGUAACUAUGCACGUCUGGACGGUACCUAAUCAGAAAGCCACGGCUAACUACGG
rnacentral:rRNA from 1 species